rnacentral:rRNA from 1 species
GACGGAGGAUGCAAGCGUUAUCCGGAAUGAUUGGGCGUAAAGCGUCCGCAGGUGGCAGUUCAAGUCUGCUGUCAAAGACCGGGGCUUAACUUCGGAAAGGCAGUGGAAACUGAACAGCUAGAGUAUGGUAGGGGCAGAGGGAAUUCCUGGUGUAGCGGUGAAAUGCGCAGAUAUCAGGAAGAACACCAAUGGCGAAGGCAGCUCUCUGGGACGGUACUGACGCUGAGACGCGAAAGCGUGGGGAGCGAACAGG